GCCCUGGUAGUCUAGUGGCCUAGGAUAGAGCCCUGUCACGGCUCCGACCCGGGUUCAAAAAUCAAGGUGUCACAAUCGUUAGGUACCUGAUAUGAGUGUCCCGGCCAGGGCG
rnacentral:tRNA from 1 species